CAGCCGUAAACUAUGCGCGUUAGGUGUACUGGUGACCACGAGUCACCGGGGUGCCGAAGGGAAACCGUGAAACGUGCCGCCUGGGAAGUACGGUCGCAAGGCUGAAACUUAAAGGAAUUGGCGGGGGGAGCACCACAACGGGUGGAGCCUGCGGUUUAAUUGGACUCAACGCCGGAAAUCUCACCGGAUAGGACAGACAUAUGAUAGUCGGGCUGAAGACUCUACUUGAUGAUCUGAGAGGAGGUGCAUGGCGUAGACGUCU
rnacentral:rRNA from 1 species